rnacentral:rRNA from 1 species
AAGUCGAACGGAAACGAUGGAAGCUUGCUUCCAGGCGUCGAGUGGCGGACGGGUGAGUAAUACUUAGGAAUCUGCCCAGUAGUGGGGGACAACUCGAGGAAACUCGAGCUAAUACCGCAUACGCCCUACGGGGGAAAGCGGAGGAUCUUUCGGGACUUCGCGCUAUUGGAUGAGCCUAAGUCGGAUUAGCUUGUUGGUGGGGUAAAAGCCUACCAAGGCGACGAUCCGUAGCUGGUCUGAGAGGACGAUCAGCCACACUGGGACUGAGACACGGCCCAGACUCCUACGGGAGGCAGCAGUGGGGAAUAUUGGACAAUGGGGGCAACCCUGAUCCAGCAAUGCCGCGUGUGUGAAGAAGGCCUGCGGGUUGUAAAGCACUUUCAGUAGAGAAGAAAAGCCUAUGGUUAAUACCCGUGGGUCUUGACGUUACCUACAGAAGAAGCUCCGGCUAACUCCGUGCCAGCAGCCGCGGUAAUACGGAGGGAGCGAGCGUUAAUCGGAAUUACUGGGCGUAAAGCGCGCGUAGGCGGCUUUGUAAGUCGGAUGUGAAAGCCCUGGGCUCAACCUGGGAAUGGCAUUCGAUACUGCAUGGCUAGAGUAUGGUAGAGGGAAGUGGA